rnacentral:misc_RNA from 1 species
GCAAUCACGUCCAUACCUAAAAUUGUUUUAUUCCCACUAAUUCCAACAACAGUAAUGGUAUGAGUUCCUUUUUCAUAGAGCUGAAUAUUUAACCAACGCUAAAACAACAAAGUUAUAGUGUUCUAAUAACGUUAAUACUUCCAAUACUCAAGUACAAACAAAGAUUCAAGUAUCAAUAACACAGCCGUGGAGGAAAAACCAUUCCCACAUGUAACAGGAUUUCAUAUUUCCUGAAACCUACUGAUCUUUGUAUCUCUUUUCUACCUCCUCCAAACUUUCAAUCUCUUUGUUAUACUUGCAAAUGCGGUAGAUACACCA